AUUCUGGAAUUGGAAAGGUCAUCUUGUUCCAAUGUUCCUGCAGGGAACACCCGGGUAGGGGCACCUUCCACUAUCCCAGGGUGCUGCAAGCCCCGUCCAGCCUG